GUUUACAAAUUAUUAUUAUAUACUUGAUUUUUAAUUUAUUUAUUUUAUUUAUUUUUAAAUUUGUUAUAUAUAAAUGAAAUUUUUUAUAUAUUAAGAAUAUUUUUGGUAAUAAUUUUUAUAAUUAUUUUUUAAAAAUUAUAAAUAAUUUACAUAAUAUAAAUACAAUAUGAAUAUUAAUUAUAACACUAAUUUUAUUUAUUACA
rnacentral:snoRNA from 1 species